AAUCAACGCUGGCGGCGUGCCUAACACAUGCAAGUCGAACGCGAAAGCCUCGCAAGGGGCAAGUAGAGUGGCAAACGGGUGAGUAACACGUGGGUGACCUGCCGUCGAGUGGGGGAUAACGUUCCGAAAGGAACGCUAAUACCGCAUAAUAUGCUGCCGUUUAAGAGGUGGACAUCAAAGCUGGGGACCGCAAGGCCUGGCGCUUGACGAGGGGCCCGCGCCUGAUUAGCUAGUUGGNGGGGUAAUGGCUCACCAAGGCAUCGAUCAGUAUCCGGCCUGAGAGGGCGGACGGACACACUGGGACUGAGACACGGCCCAGACUCCUACGGGAGGCAGCAGUGGGGGAAUUGUUCGCAAUGGGCGCAAGCCUGACGACGCAACGCCGCGUGGAGGAUGAAGACC
rnacentral:rRNA from 1 species